AUGUCCCCUCCUCUACUGCCCCAAGCACCACUAACACACAACAGUGUGUGUGACAAGCAUUUACUGAGGACUAGGAGGGUAACAGAACCACUGGGGGGAGGUAACCUAACACUAAAUGUCGAAUAUCAAUUUUCCUAAAUAUUCACUGGCCAUUUCCCACCAAAAAAUAAUUCCUUGCUGUCCGCACGUCUUCAUAGGCCAUGGACGUCUCUGGAUCCUUCUCCCUCUCACCACUGGGCCUCAUCUCUCCCAGGAUGCCCUUAAAGACUCAAAAGUGUGCCAGGUGGGGUGGCUCAUGCCUGUAAUCCUAGCACUUUGGGAGGCCGAGGAGAGUGGAUCACGUAAGGCCAAGAGUUCAAGACCAGACUGGCCAACAUCACCCCUGACUGAAAACCGUGGACUGGAAGAAAGACAUGCCCACCUGGACAUAAGAGCAGGACAAGACAGCCUGGCCCUGUUCCUUCUGAUCUGAGACUGUCCUCGCCCUCCCUUGAGGUUCCGGCCUAUGACUGGGAGCCAGAGAAGUGGAGAGAUGGGUAGGGCAAGGGCCUGGGAGCUCCAGCCAGAUGCUGAUUAUCCAAAUAAAUAUUGAUUGAAGCAGAUUCCACUGUUUCCGUCUUCUCAAAGGCAUAACACCUUCUGGGGAAAUGGAUGGGAGCAGCUGAAGGGCUCCGCACCAUCCCCCUCCAACCCUGGAGAAAGAACCCCACGCACAGGCCGCCCAGCGCAUCAGAUACCUUUGCACCCAAGAACAGGCCAGGCCAGGCACAGUGGCUCACGCCUGUAAUCCCAGUACUUUGGGAGGCUGAGGCAGGUGGAUUACUUGAGCCCAGGAGUUCAAGACCAGCCUAAGCAAUAUGGUGAAUCCCUGACUCUGCAAAAUACAAACAAACAAAAAAAAAAAAUUAACUGGGUAUGGUGGUGCUCACCUGUAGUUCCAGCAACUCAGGAGGCUGAGUUGCGAGGAUCGCUUGAGCCAAGGAAGACUGAGGCUGCAGUGAGCUAUGAUCAUGUCACUGCACUCCAGCCUGGCUGUCAGAGGGAGACCCUAGCUCAAAAAAAAAAGAAAAAGAAAAGAAAAA
rnacentral:lncRNA from 1 species